UACGUAGGUGGCAAGCGUUGUCCGGAUUUACUGGGCGUAAAGAGCGCGCAGGCGGUCGUUCAAGUCGAGUGUGAAAGCCCCCGGCUCAACUGGGGAGGGUCACUCGAUACUGAUCGACUCGAAGGCAGAAGAGGGAAGCGGAAUUCCCGGUGUAGUGGUGAAAUGCGUAGAUAUCGGGAGGAACACCAGUGGCGAAGGCGGGCUCCUUGGCCUGUUCUUGACGCUGAGCGC
rnacentral:rRNA from 1 species